rnacentral:tRNA from 1 species
GUGGAUAUGGUGUUUAACGGUCAGCAUACAGGCUUGCCAAGUCUGAGGUACGAGUUCAAAUCUCGCUAUCCACU